rnacentral:rRNA from 2 species
CCUACGGGCGGCUGCAGUGGGGAAUAUUGGGCAAUGGGCGAAAGCCUGACCCAGCAACGCCGCGUGAGGGAAGAAGGUUUUCGGAUCGUAAACCUCUGUCCUUGGUGAAGAGAAAGAGACGGUAGCCAAGGAGGAAGCCCCGGCUAACUACGUGCCAGCAGCCGCGGUAAUACGUAGGGGGCGAGCGUUGUCCGGAAUGAUUGGGCGUAAAGGGCGCGUAGGCGGCCUGUUAAGUCCGGAGUGAAAUUCCGGCUUUCAAGGUAGGAAGUGCUUUGGAAACUGGCGGGCUGGAGUGCAGGAGAGGUUAGCGGAAUUCCCGGUGUAGCGGUGAAAUGCGUAGAGAUCGGGAGGAACACCAGUGGCGAAGGCGGCUAACUGGACUGUAACUGACGCUGAGGCGCGAAAGUGUGGGGAGCAAACAGGAUUAGAUACCCGGGUAGUC